CAUUUUGGUCCUUGACGCGCUAUUACUUAUAACCUAGAUUACACAUGCAAGCCUCCCCAUACCAGUGAGAAGCCCAACAGACUCUUUGCGGAGUCCAGGAGACGGUAUCAGGCACGCCACGUACAGCCAAUUACACCACGCGACUUGCCACACCCACAAGGGCCCCAGCAGUGAAUAGUAUUAAAACAUAAGCGAAAGCUUGAUUUAGCUAGGGUUAAAUUAAAGCCGGUAAAUCUCGUGCCAGCCACCGCGGUUAUACGAGAGGCCGAAAACAAUAGCAUCCGGCGUAAAGAGUGACGAAAGAAAAGUCAACACAUUAAGGGGGAACCAACCCUAAGCCGUGAAACCCAUAAGGAAAUAAGAACUUCACCAACCCUUAAAAUCAAAAGGACAACUCAAACUCACGAAAGUUGAGACACAAACUUGGAUUAGAUACCCAACUAUGCCAACCCUAAACUUAGAUGGCCAAGAACAUUAAGCCAUUCGCCAGGGAACUACAAGCUAAAGCUAGAAACCCAAAGGACUUGGCGGUGCCCCACACCAAACUAGAGGAGCCUGUCCCAUAAUCGAUACUCCACGAUACACCUCACCACCUUUUGACAAUUCAGCCUAUAUACCGCCGUCGCCAGCCUACCACAUGAGGGCAAAAUAGUGGGCACAAUCGUACGCACAAACACGCCAGGUCAAGGUGUAGCUAAUAAGGUGGCGGAGAUGGGCUACAUUUCCUAAUACAGAUAGACACGAAAGGCCGACUGAAAACCGGGCCAGAAGGUGGAUUUAGCAGUAAGCUAAAUAAGACCUACUAACUGAAGAACGCACUGGGGCACGCACACACCGCCCGUCACCCUCCUCAAUGCAACCCAACCCAUUAAC
rnacentral:ncRNA from 1 species